GAUGAAGAACGCAGCGAAAUGCGAUACGUAAUGUGAAUUGCAGAUCUCUCAGUGAAUCAUCGAGUCUUUGAACGCACAUUGCGCCCCCUGGUAUUCCGGGGGGCAUGCCUGUCCGAGCGUCAUUGCUGCCCUCAAGCACGGCUUGUGUGUUGGGCCUCCGUCCUCCUCCCGGGGGACGGGCCCGAAAGGCAGCGGCGGCACCGCGUCCGGUCCUCGAGCGUAUGGGGCUUCGUCACCCGCUCUUGUAGGCCCGGCCGGCGCUUGCCGACACAUCAAUCUUUUUUCCAGGUUGACCUCGGAUCAGGUAGGGAUACCCGCUGAACUUAAGCAUAUCAAUAAGCGGAGGA
rnacentral:misc_RNA from 1 species